UUCAAGCGAUUCUCCUGCCUCAGCCUCCAGAGUAGCUGGGAUUACAGCCAGCAAUAGAACAUCAGAUAGCCAAUAUGAUGCUUUAAUUACUAGCAAUUUGGUACCUAUGUAUGAAGAAUUCAGAAAAAUGUGGGACUACUUCCACAGUGUUCUUCUUAUAAAACAUGCCACAGAAAGAAAUGGAGUAAAUGUGGUUAGUGGACCAAUAUUUGAUUAUAAUUAUGAUGGCCAUUUUGAUGCUCCAGAUGAAAUUAC
rnacentral:lncRNA from 1 species